GAUGAAGAACGCAGCGAAAUGCGAUACGUAAUGUGAAUUGCAAAUUCAGUGAAUCAUCGAGUCUUUGAACGCACAUUGCGCCCCCUGGUAUUCCGGGGGGCAUGCCUGUCCGAGCGUCAUUGCUGCCCUCAAGCACGGCUUGUGUGUUGGGCCCCGUCCUCCGAUCCCGGGGGACGGGCCCGAAAGGCAGCGGCGGCACCGCGUCCGGUCCUCGAGCGUAUGGGGCUUUGUCACCCGCUCUGUAGGCCCGGCCGGCGCUUGCCGAUCAACCCAAAUUUUUAUCCAGGUUGACCUCGGAUCAGGUAGGGAUACCCGCUGAACUUAAGCAUAUCAAUAAGCGGGA
rnacentral:misc_RNA from 1 species